UGUGCGCGAGUCACGGGGUUCUACGAAACCUAAGGGCGCAAUGAAGGUGAAGGCUCUCGUAGGAGUGCCGAGGUGGGAAGCCGUCCCCCCGGGGCGGCGGCACCACCGGCCCGUCCCGAUCGCUCGUCGAUGGGGCGGAGCAAGAGCGUACACGUUGGGACCCGAAAGGCGGUGAGCUAUGCGUGAGCAGGACGAAGUCAGAGGAAACUCUGAUGGAAGUCCGUAGCGAUUCUGACGUGCAAAUCGAUCGUCAAACU
rnacentral:rRNA from 1 species